UUCUGCUGUACCCAACUGGCCUGAGUCUAUCACAAAGGGUCCUUCGGCUGAGGAGUGUGAACCCAUUCCUCCUGGGGGCCAGGAGCAGCAGCAGCUCAGGCACAGUAGGGGCAGAUGAAGAACACUGUUCACUGGCAUCAAGAGAAGAAGCCAGGAGCAGUUUAACUGAGGGAAAAGGAGGAACAGGGUGUUGAGCAGGAGGAACACUUUUCCCAGAGUCAGGAAUACCAGGAGCAGGAGCCUUCCCAAAGGGACCAGGAGCAUGUCCUGUUGCAGUUCCUGGCACAAGUGGUGUGGAAAGGAUUUAGGUCCCACCUACCGCAAGAGCCACUGCCAGGGUCCAGAAAUUGGCACCUUCCUUCUCAUCUCCCAGCUGCUACUUCUCCUGCAGGCCAGGGUGUUGCUCAGGCAGAGGAUCCAAACAGCCUCCCCCUCCCGCCCCAAUGACAAAGGGGAGGCUGAAAGACUUCAGGGACAGCAUGCUGCACCAAAACCCCUCCAGGGGGAGAACUGUGACCAUGCAGGAACAAACAAUAAGCCCAAGACUGUGCCUGAAGGCCAGCAUAUGUUGGCUCUCAAACCCUGUGCAGGAGUUGUUCCCAUUUGUCCCGCUUGUCUGCAGGAGUGGGGAGAUCAAAGCCAAGGACACCAUGUCAUAUGCUUUGAAGUUUAAUUUUCUUGGGAGUCUGAUCCAUUCUGCUGUCUUUCAUAGUUCCUUUUGAAAAACUGUUCAGAGUUAUGCUACAUGUACUAGUUUCAAUAAAUGUUAUUUUCCUUUA